rnacentral:sRNA from 1 species
GCUUGAGUGAGAGAGGACAUCGAGGUCCCGCUGGACCUGCAAUCCGACCAACUCUUUGCAGAUUUUCUGCCGCUUAAGUGUGAUGCCUGCUCAGGCAUCUUCUGCGCAGACCAUGUGGCCUACGCCCAGCAUCACUGUGGAUCUGCUUACCAAAAGGAUAUCCAGGUACCUGUGUGCCCUCUCUGUAAUGUGCCUGUGCCUGUGGCCAGAGGGGAGCCCCCUGACCGUGCUGUGGGAGAGCACAUUGACAGAGACUGUCGCUCUGAUCCAGCACAGCAAAAACGUAAGAUCUUCACCAAUAAGUGCGAGCGCGCUGGCUGCCGGCAGCGAGAAAUGAUGAAACUGACCUGUGAACGCUGUAGCCGAAACUUCUGCAUCAAGCACCGGCACCCACUGGACCAUGAUUGCUCUGGGGAGGGGCACCCAACCAGCCGGGCAGGACUUGCUGCCAUCUCCAGAGCACAAGCUGUGGCUUCUACAAGCACCGUCCCCAGCCCAAGUCGAACCAUGCCUUCCUGUCCCUCUCCCAGCAGGUAGGCCUGCCCGUUUCCCUGCUCCCCCUUUUUCCCCUUCACACCUCUGACCUCCACCUCUUCAAUGUCUGUCGUAGAGCCACAACCCGAUCUCCGUCCUGGACAGCCCCUCCAGUGAUUGCUUUGCAGAAUGGCCUGAGUGAGGAUGAAGCUCUGCAGCGGGCCCUGGAAAUGUCCCUGGCAGAGACCAAACCCCAGGUUCCAAGUUGUCAGGAGGAAGAAGACCUAGCUUUAGCACAAGCACUGUCAGCCAGUGAGGCAGAAUACCAGCGGCAGCAGGCCCAGAGCCGCAGCUCGAAGCCGUCCAACUGCAGCCUGUGCUAGGGCCCUGGGCUUGGGGAGGGAGAUUCACCUGAGGAGGACUGUGGCCCUCACACCUCUAGGGUACACAGGGAGAGGAGGCCCGGAGCAGCCUGGAGGGCAGAGACAAACAGGAGUGAUGUGGAGGUCGCCCUGGGAGCCUCUGGAAGGCCUUGCUAGUGCUCCAGCUGCAUGGAAGAGAGCGACUAGCA